CAUUUCCUUCCCUUCUCUCUCACAACUCACCCCUCACAAAACUUCAUCAGACCUUCUCUCUCUAUCGGCGACUCAAGAAUAUCAUGCCAGAUCUCUCACCAGAUGCCGUUUCAUGACCAGAUCUAGCUGAUUUAUCGGGUUGCUUUGGACUUUACCUCUGAUGGCGUUGUGUUCAAGUACGGCUCUAAGCCUAUUCAGUUAUUAGGUAUUUUGGAAAUCUAGAAAUUAGGUGAUCGAGAGUAAAUCUAUAUUUGAUCUUCCUAGCCUCCAUUGUUGAAAUCUAUUGGAUCUUGAGCUUUAAUGCCUUUUCAUGGUUUUAAAAGAUUAAGUAUUGUUGCACGAGAAUCAGCAAUAGAAUGCACCACCUGAACCAUGGGCAUUAAGAGAACGAUGAAUCUUGGCAUAUGUUGGGAAGCUUUAUUUACAGAAGCUGGACCUGCACUUGAAGUCUUAAGUGAUAUUCUUAAUGCCAUUGAUACCGGACUGGACGUUAGUUUCUAUACAAGAAACCCGUAAAACGCUACUAACUGAUGUCGAAUAACAGAAAACAAGGAUAGCUGGUUGAACAGGGUGAUGAUCGGCUGAAAGGAGGUAGGGUAAAUCUGGUUAGCUAGGCUGCACAAAUCAGAACUUUCUAUAGGGAUUGAUGAUGGGUUGUCUUAUAUGAGUUGUUUGAAGAAGAACUGAUCAGCCUGCAGCCCUACAUGAACUUCAGAAUGUGAUUCAACAUCAACAACAGAUGGUAUUUUGGCUCGCAAUAAAAAGAUGAACUUUAUGUCUUCUAGGUAUAUACACACAAAACCCUAAUCUUUUUUCAUACUUUGCAUACUGAUCUGUAUGUUUUUAUAGCAAGUUCUGCAUAAAGAAUCAUACACAGUUAGAUUUUAAGUUCAGGGACUAAGUUCUUAAUUCAAAUAGUAUGUGGCGAGACGAUGGUGACUGAUAGCGCCACGGUAAACCCAUCUCCACUGCUCGCAGCUGAUGUUAUGUGAGUUGGACACUGCCGCUGCUUCGUGUUUGAAAUCAAUGUAGGAUGUGUUGUUAAAUCUGUUUUUGGGUCUGGUGUUUGAGUCGAACAGACUCGAUCUAACUUUUCCCGAGCUUAAGAUUGAGCUGCAACGUUCUUGAUAAAUCAUGAAUGGUGAGGUGACGAUGAUGGCAAGUGUGCAUAAAAUGAAAGGAUGGUGAUUGUGAGAACCGAUGGCGAAGGCAGGUAUAAACCGGAUUGGGACAAAAAAAACUGGUUUUAACCUGUUUUUUUACAAUCGAUUCGUGUUAUAAACUGGUUUCAAAGAUCGAGAAUACGAGCCGGUAUCCAAACCGUCGGGUUGAAACUGGUUUUUAUUUCAAAUCGGAUUGGGUUUUUUUUCCAAACCGCCGCAUAGCAAACAUGGAGUUUGAGAAGAUUAACAAAGGCGGGGUUAUGGUAACUCAAGCAAUAGAUAAGGUACACAAAAUAUGUAUUGGUUCAUAAGGAUAUUUAUGGUAAUUUGACUUGCUGUGUGGUGGCUUUUUAUUGAAGACCUAUUCGUCACAUCGUAUUUUUAAUGGACAGUUAUUGGAUUCCAAAGUAUUUCACCAUGUACCUUUUAGAUACGUUAUGCUAGAAACUAAUGACAAGUAUAAAAAAAUUAUAUAAAUAUUAAAUACAUUGUACUUUUUGUACGAAAAGCGAUGCACUUUGCGUUCUGUUUGAAACUUUAUUGGCUUGGCGCGUGUUGUUUUAUUUGAAUCAAUUGGAAGCUUGUGGUUCUACUUGAUUUGGUUGCAAUAUGUUUUUUCUUUUCCGUUUUAUUUCUAUUUUUUGUGAUAUUUUUAUUUGGAGGUUAGAAUGAUUGUAGCAUAUUGAUGAGAUUGUAUGUUUUAUUUCAUCUACUUUUGAUAUGUUUUAUGUUUAAAGAAUCUUUUUUUUUUUGGUGAUUAUUAGCACCAAGGAUGAGGGGCAGCAGCCGUUCACCUUCAAAAUUGGCCAAGGCCAAGUUAUUAAAGUCUUUGUUUAAAAAGGCGCACCUGAUGCACAAGGCGAUCAUGUACUUUUGGGCGGAUUCCUACAGCUGAUGCUUUGGCUAUUAGGAAUGUGAACGUUGGAAACGGAAGUUGCCCUCUAUGCAGGACAGUUCAGGAGACUGCGGCCCAUCUGUUCGCUACCUAUCUUGUUUUGAGGACAUCAUUUGGGCUUGGGUUAAAAUCCCGCAUCCAGUUGCGGCUGAGACUCUAGACCAAGUCAUCCAGUUUGGGGCGAAUUUAGUCAUGCCGACUUUGAGGAAAAAGGUAAUAAAUGCGAUCUUUUUCAUGACUAUCUGGAAGAUUUGGAUACAUCGCAACGAGAAAAUUUUCAAAUGUAAAGCAGUGUCGGUAGAUAAUAUCACAGAGGAGAUCAAAGAAGAGAGCUUCUGGUGGAUGGCGAAACGAUCGAGAAUGGUGGGCAUCUCGAUGGAGAACCGGGGAGAUUUUGACGUAGGGUUGCAAUUUUAAUGUAUCUGGUAGUUUAGUAUAUGCUUUCUUCUAUGUUUGUUUUUCUUCUAUUUGGUUGCGGCUUUCACAACUGCUUGCUGUGUUAGCUUGUUCAACUUGUAUUUGUAGUUUUGGUUUAUAAAAUUUUGAAAAUGAAGUUUGCAGCAUUUGAAAUUGGUA